GAAGAAUUUAACAUUCCACUCCUACCACCCUCCCCCACUUCCCGGCUUCAGCAACAUAAUUUUUAAAAGAGAAGUACAUCCCAAUUGCUCUGUGUAGGUGGUGCAGUGGGAGGAGGUGAAAUGCAAGCUUUAUUUUUCCCGACUGCUUGUCAUCCAAUUCCCCGCUUUGCUCUGACUUUCAUGAGUGAUGAGGUCAUCCUGGCCCAGGAAAAUCAAACUCCUAUUUUUCAAACCCAAUAAAGGCCGGCAUUGUAUGCCUGCGUAAACAGAGGCCAGACGGGUCGGGUGGCAGGAACACGAGCUGCCCGCCCUCUGGCGGUCGCGUGAGACAGUUGUGCCCUGCGCUCCGACGAACAGCGACAAGGGGGCGGAGAGGCUGCGUGCUAAAAUGUAAGUUAAAAUUAGAUCAAUAGUCAGCUUGGCUCUCAAUCAGUGCUUCGCAGGGAGAGUGUACAACCAUCUAUUUAUAAGCUAAACCUGGCAUUAUCUUCCCCUUUUAGGACGCAAAGAUCCAUUACAGCCACGGCAGGGGAGACGAUGCCGCAAGGGGCUGAUGCGCGCCACAGAACAGCCUCGCUGGCUGGUCCUGUCUUCGUCCCGCCUCCCUUCCGCGCGGGGUGGGCGUGGGAGGAUACACUCCCGCAGUCGGCGGCCCCACUGCUCUCUAUAGGACUCUUUCCGCGAACCGACCCCUCAAGAACUCACUCACGCCUAUUCCUUACCUCGAUGGAAUCCUUAGUCUUUAAACUGAAAGAACCCAAAAGACAAAAUAAUAAUCGUCAGGGGCCUUCCUGCAGAUGGAGAGUCCGUGCUGGCUGCUUUUAACCAUCCAAGACUUGACUGCCUGCAGACAAAGGUUUCCAACCUGGCUUACCGAAGUGAUUGCGUUACUCAGGCCUUUCUCAGACAGUUGUUGCUAUAAAUAGGUACAGUCUCCCUCCUCCCGCGUCAGAGAACGAGUGAGAAUGGAUUUACAGCAGUCUGUCUGGUUGCAUUAUGGUGAAGACCUUGGUGAGCUGUCUGCGGGCUCCAUCCAGCCCCUAACGUUACCAGGACACGGGACAUUCCCAUUUUCUGCAAUGGGAAGAAGUGGGUGGAAGUCACCUCCAAAAAUAUAUAAAGAAAUGUCCACCCCUAGCAUUGGUGUUAAAGUUGUCCAACUGUUUUCAGUUUUUGAAGAUGCUGCAGAAAAAGAGAACCAUGACAGACAAUUGCUGAACAUCAAAUUGAUGAGUGAACACUUCAUCAGAUCUGGUUGCCUUAACAACUGAAAUAGCCAAAAUGUUAAGACAGUCAAAUAAGAUUGAUUAUUUUUGAUACAAUCUGUGGGUGGUUGACCCAGAAAAUCUCAGCCUCAUCACACAUAUAAACACAGAGGCUGUAUCAACAGAUGCAAAAGCAGCCAGAGGACAAGCGAGAAAUCCGUCAAUCACCUGGAUGCCUCCUGUCUCUGAUGCACUGAGCAGCGAGCAGAGAAACACCCGGAAAGACUCUCUGGAUUGCUUCUGGGUACUGGGUAGCAGAGGAUGUAGCGGGGAAUUUUGAUCCUUUCGGUUUCUAGAAAAAGACAGUCUGGCUUGUAAUGGAAAAGCAGAUUUCCUCCAAAUUGUCUAGAGGUGCUGAAUCAUGCAUGAAUGUCAGCAGAUGAUGCCAACCAUGGCAUCAUUUCAUGCGGACUUUAUCUGGUGUGAACUAAGAGCAUUCCACUUUAUGAAUCUUCUUCAAGCAUCCACAGAUAAUUGUGCUGUGUCAUAGACCAAAAGGGAAAUUAAAUCUCUCUGUUAUUGGAGUUGGUAUUUGUAGCCUUUCCUGAAGACAGGGGAAAGGAAAUUCAUUUCAGAUUUAAAAAAAAUUCCUAAACUGGAAAAUUGCAAUCACCAUAUCAUAUUUUAUCAUUGUGCCUAUCUGAAUUCAGCCCAUCAUGUACAGAGGGGUGGAUGCUAUUACAUAAAGGUACAGGUACAAAGGUUAAACCUUGUUUAUUUGUUUGGUGAGGUUUUUCUAUUCAUUUUGAAUUCUAAAAAAAAUUAUUAGUUGAUAGCUCGAUGGCAGUACAGUCUGUAUUGAGAAAAGAGGAAUUGAUUAAUAAGUGAGAAAUUAAAAAUGAGUGAG
ensembl:lncRNA